ACUUCUUCAUUGCAACUCAAUAUGAAGCAACUAUACAUCAUUUCUGCCACUAUGUGGAGCUGUGUGAAAAUAUAAAUUAGCAGCACUGGGUAUGUGCAAUAACAUGAUUCCAAGAUGGUGUAUUCCAGCAGUGAGCAAGUGGUGGUAGUUUCUCCUGGGAUACAGCAGAAGCUCAGCACAGUAGCUCCCUAAGCUCCCAGUCUGGAUGUUCUGGGAUUUGUCUCACAUGCCAUGGCUCAAACUCUUUAUUGUGGAUGCAUCAGGCUUCAGCACUGGCAAGGGCAAGAGCCGAACAGUAACAUUGGUCUCCAAUGAUGAAAUGCAGAUUCCAACUCCAGAUCACAUCCCAUCCAAGCCCCAUUUGACAGCAUCAAACUCCACAAAACUGAGCAAACUCCAGCUGCUUCACUAGAGGAAAG